rnacentral:rRNA from 1 species
GCCUGCGGCCACACCACUUUGAAUAAGCCUGAUCUCGCCUGAUCUCAGAAGUGAAACAAUGGUGGGCUUGGUUANUACUUGAAUGGGAGACCGCCUGGGAAUAUCAAGUGCUGAAGGCAUU